rnacentral:rRNA from 1 species
GACCCGUCUUGAAACACGGACCAAGGAGUUUAAGGUGUACGCGAGUCAUUGAGCAGCAACGAAACUCAACGGCGCAAUGAAAGUGAGACAUUUGAUGUCGACGAUGUGAGCGUUGGGCGUUUCGACGUCCGGCGCGCAACAUCGCCCCGUGACCAGGACUUGUUCUGUUGCGGCGGUUGAGCGUACGCUUUGAGACCCGAAAGAUGGUGAACUAUGCCCGAACAGGAUGAAGCCAGAGGAAACUCUGGUGGAAGUCCGAAGCGGUUCUGACGUGCAAAUCGAUCGUCUGAUUUGGGUAUAGGGGCGCAAGACUAAUCGAACCAUCUAGUAGCUGGUUCCUUCCGA